UUGAGCUGUAUGUCAUGAAAGUGACACGUACAGUUCUUAGGCGGGAAAGAGGGAGUAAUCUCUCCGACCUAGCCGAC
rnacentral:ncRNA from 1 species